ACUCCCUCAAAUUAUUUCCCCACCGCCUCCAUUAGCCCUAUCCGGCUAUCCCUCAAGAACGCCCUCUCUCCACGCUUGUGCCAAUUUCUUCGCCCUCCACCAGUGAGCACGCCAAGCCACCGCCCCUUCCUGUUGCCCAGCGCCCCCCUGCAGCGCGCCCGCCCGCCCGCCUCCCUACCCUGGCCGCGGCGGCCUUCGCUCCAUGCACCUGCUUUAGGUUGCGCCGCCGUGCGCCCUCGCUGUGCCGGCCGACCUCGCCGCGGCCUGACCCAGUCAUCGUCCCUGCUUCAUCUCCCCGUCAUGCUCCUCCAUGGGCGUGGUGAUCACCUAUGCCGUCGUAGCCAUGCCUUGGGCGCCACACCGGCCGUCAGCCUCAUCUCUCUGCUCGCCUGUCUCCUUGCCUCCCUGUGCUCACCACGCCGGACGCCGCUCCCAACCCUCCACACUUCCCUCCCCAGGCCGCGGCGGCCUUCGCUCCAGUUCUGCCUCGCCAUCGACUGAGUCCCCACGUCCCUGCGCGGCGACGUGCUCGCCCAGGCCCUGCCAAGGACUCCUGCGAACUCCAACCUCAUCGCCUAGCCCCGCCACCGUUUCUAAAGUGAUGAUCCAUUCAGCAUGUCCUCGUGCUCAUCGCAUGGAUCAUAUCUGGGCUCACACUGGGGCUCGUCGCUCGGCCUCGUCGAGCUAGAGAUCCUCCAACAUAGCAGCACAGACGCCAAGAAGGCUUAGCUGUCAUCCUUCUAGUUGUUCAAAAGCAGCACUAGCUUCAUGUCACCCUAUUGUUGUGUAAUGUUGCUGCCAUGGAGGUAGAAUAUUUGGAUUGUAAUCAUAUCAAUUAUCACACUAUUUUGUACUCUAGAACUGAAUUCAUUUGCUAAAAGAAUGUAUGGUAAUAUCAGAAUUAUUUUGAAGCUUCUAAUGAAUUAUCCUAGCAUCAACACUUAGACCUUUUAACUCAUUAUUGGGAGAGAGGGACAAGGUUCUGAAGUUGUAUGUGUUCAACUUUUUUGGCACCAUGUCACCAUGAUUUUUUGUAAUCCUAUUUAUGUUUAUCUUACAUUUUGGAACUAGUUGAUGAAGUUUAAAUAAGAUUGAGAAUACAACCUAUUGCAUCCACUAUAUAAGCUUAUUUCUCCCGGUUGCUACUAGUUUCUUUCAUCAUCCAACUUCAACACAUUCAAUUUGUGUUAGUCCAAAUACAUCGUAUGGUGUAUGUAUAUCCGAUCAAUAUUAUUUUCCGAGUCCUAAAUCUACUAUCAAACUUCUCAUACGAGUGUUCUUUCACUAGUUGAUACUCUUACACCUUAUUCCUUUUUAUUUUUGUAUUCUAAAGUCAUUGAUAGGUAGGGCAUAGGUCACAUAUUGUUUUUUUCUGAUAUCUUUUGCACUACAUUCUAUUUUAACCAUUGAAUUUUAUGUUAACCUCAUUGCAGCCUUUGCAGGCACUUCCUAUAUUUCUUGAUAGGAUGUUUCAUCAUGUUCUUGCUGUAAUAUUGUCAGUGACAUUUGUUCUUGCCUUUGGAGAGGGAUCAUAUCUGAGCUCAGACUGGGGCUCAUGUCGCUCGGCCUAAUGUAGCAGCACAGUCAUUUCAGGAGACCAUUGAUAGUAUGAUGAGGUCGAUGCAAAAAAAAAUAACAACCACCUUCAUCAACUAUUAAGCUUCAGUCGAGGUCAAGCGUGUCCAUCUUUAAGUCUGCUUGACCACUAUAGGAUCUGUAACCUUAUGGAUGUUAUAGUAGCUAGUAACAAUAUGCUUAAUAUUUAGUACUUGAGUUGAAGUUAUAGGAUUUUCUUUGGAAUUGAAGUUAAAGGAUUUGUAGAUAUAUGUUUUGACGUUAUAUGAUUCUCUAAUGGAUGAAAUAUUCGUGUUCAACAUAUUAAUAUGAUAUUUUGGUUGUGAUGUGUAAUAUUCCAUGAUGGUAUGAAUUCA